rnacentral:rRNA from 1 species
GGGAACUGAAACAUCUAAGUACCUGGAGGAAAGGACAUCAAUCGAGACUCCGUUAGUAUUGGCGAGCGAACGCGGACCAGGCCAGUGAUACAUCAAAGACAAUCGGAACCAGUCAGGAAAGCUGGGCCUCAGAGGGUGAUAGCCCCGUACGAGUAAUGCGAUGAUGUAUCCACGAGUAAGGCGGGACACGUGUAAUCCUGUCUGAACAUAGGGGGACCACCCUCUAAGCCUAAAUACUCGUAUGCGACCGAUAGUGAACUAGUACCGUGAGGGAAAGGUGAAAAGCACCCCGAUGAGGGGAGUGAAACAGUACCUGAAACGGAUUGCCUACAAGCAGUUGGAGGGUCCUUGAGGCCUGACAGCGUACCUCUUGCAUAAUGGGUCUGUGACUUAAUGUAUCAAGCAAGCUUAAGCCGUUAGGUGUAGGCGCAGCGAAAGCGAGUCUGAAUAGGGCGACUGAGUUUGAUGCAUUAGACCCGAAACCCGGCGAUCUAGGCAUGACCAGGAUGAAGGUGCGGUAACACGCACUGGAGGCUCGAACCGAUUAACGUUGAAAAGUUACCGGAUGAGUUGUGUUUAGGGGUGAAAGGCCAAUCAAGCCGGGAAAUAGCUGGUUCUCCGCGAAAACUAUUGAGGUAGUGCCUCGGAUGUU